rnacentral:rRNA from 1 species
UCCGAAGGGGGCUAGCGUUGCUCGGAAUCACUGGGCGUAAAGCGCACGUAGGCGGCUUUUUAAGUCAGGGGUGAAAUCCUGGAGCUCAACUCCAGAACUGCCUUUGAUACUGAGAAGCUUGAGUCCGGGAGAGGUGAGUGGAACUGCGAGUGUAGAGGUGAAAUUCGUAGAUAUUCGCAAGAACACCAGUGGCGAAGGCGGCUCACUGGCCCGGUACUGACGCUGAGGUGCGAAAGCGUGGGGAGCAAACAGG